rnacentral:lncRNA from 1 species
AGGCAAGAAGACAUGAAUCCAAAGAUAAGUCCUCUAAGAGACACAAGUCUGAGGAGCACAAUGACAAAGAACAUUCUUCUGACAAAGGAAGAGAGCGAUUAAAUUCAUCUGAGAAUGGUGAGGACAGACAUAAACGCAAAGAAAGGAAGUCGUCACGGGGCAGAAGUCACUCGAGGUCUAGAUCUCGUGAGAGGCGCCAUCGCAGUAGAAGCAGGGAAAGGAAGAAGUCUCGGUCAAGGAGUAGGGAUCGGAAAAAAUCUCGAUCCAGAAGCAGAGACAGGAAGAAGUCAAGAUCCAGAAGCAGGGAUAGAAAACGGAGGAUCAGAACACGUUCCCGGUCAAGAUCCAGACACAGGCAUAGGACUAGAAGCAGGAGCAGAUCACGGAGUCGAAGUCGAGAUAGAAAGAAGAGAAUCGAAAAACCAAGAAGAUUUAGCAGAAGCCUAAGCCGGACACCUAGUCCGCCUCCCUUCAGAGGCAGAAACACAGCAAUGGAUGCCCAAGAAGCACUAGCUAGGAGAUUAGAAAGGGCAAAGAAAUUACAAGAACAACGAGAAAAGGAAAUGGUUGAAAAACAAAAACAACAAGAAAUGGCUGCAGCUGCAGCCACUGGAGGUUCUGUUCUUAAUGUUGCUGCACUCUUGGCAUCGGGAACGCAAGUUACUCCUCAGAUAGCUAUGGCAGCUCAAAUGGCAGCCCUGCAAGCUAAGGCCUUGGCAGAGACUGGCAUAGCUGUGCCCAGCUACUAUAAC